ensembl:lncRNA LOC108353189 uncharacterized LOC108353189
CGCAGGCGCAUUAAGAGCCUUUAAGCGACCUCCUCCUACGCGCCGCCAGUAGGGGGCGCCGCAGCAACACUGCGCAGGCGUCACUGGGAAGCCGGGGAAACUAGAGGUAGAGUUCCACAGUACGUUUCUCUAUACCUGCGGUAAUUGUGGAGAACCCCGUCUUUUAAAUCAAGUGAUAAUCCUUAUCACUGAUAAACUUUAAUCCUUUUCUGGUUAAACAGGUGAAACGUGAGAGAUAAUAAAAUCCAUCCAGGGAAUGUGAGAAGGUCAAAAGUGAAAGGUGAAAGUUCACUACAUAGCCUCUCUCAUGCACAUUGUCACCAGGAAAGGAAAGGUCGGCAAAUGUAAUUGGAAAGAACUACAUGAAGGUUCCAGGAAUAAAUCCAAGUCUUCCAGUUUGGCAGGAACCUUUACCUGCUGAGCCAUCUUGCUGCCUCUCCUCUAAGGAAAAAUUAUUAUUCUUAAUUGUGGACAUGUGUGAGGAUUCACAUGCGAGUGCAUUAACUAUGGGCCAUCCCCCUGGGAUAGGAGUUGCACGUGGUUGUGAAACAUUCAGUAGGUCCUGAGUUCAAUUCCCAGCAACCACAUGGUGGCUCACAACCAUCUAUAAAGAGAUCCGAUGCCCUCUUCUGGUGUAUCUGAAGACAGCUACAGUGUGCUCAUAUGC